UACAGAGGUCUCAAGCGUUGUUCGGAUUCAUUGGGCGUAAAGGGUGCGUAGGCGGCGCGGUAAGUCGGGUGUGAAAUCUUGGAGCUUAACUCCGAAACUGCAUUCGAUACUGCCGUGCUUGAGGACUGGAGAGGAGACUGGAAUUUCCGGUGUAGCGGUGAAAUGCGUAGAGAUCGGAAAGAACACUCGUGGCGAAGGCGACUUUCUGGCUCAAAACUGACGCUGAGGCGCGAAAGCGUGGGGAGCAAACAGG
rnacentral:rRNA from 1 species